CUCAGCAGGCCAAGCUCCCCCGACUCCUGGUGUAGUACAUCCACACCUGAGAAACAGGCCAACCACAAAAGCUGCCAGAAGCCAGGCAUGAAUGAGUCCAGUCUUUGAAGAACUGGGAAGAUGGCUUUAGGAUGUGUCCAUUAAGUAUCUGAAACACAGAAACACCCGAGAGCUGCCCCUUCCCUUCCCAGAGAUCCAUGAAGAGCUGAACCUAGAAUACUGAUGCCACUGUUUGUCCCCUAAGAUCGAUUAGCAUCUGGAUGGACAGGAACCAAGACAACCACCUUAGUUCAGGUUUCAGUUGCUGUAACAAAACAGCAGAGGCCAAGGACUUUACACACAAGGGUGACUAAAAGUCCAAGACUAAACAACCCCAUGUGUUUGGACUCUGGUAAGGAUCUCCCAUCUACUUCUCAACAUGGCGAAUGACAUCAUGAUGGAUGUGCAGAUGAGGAAAGAGAGGUCACAUGAUGAAA
rnacentral:lncRNA from 1 species